AGCUGGCCAAAGAGUACGGGCCUGUUUACACGCUGUACUUUGGAACCUCUCCUACUGUGGUCCUACAUGGCUAUGAUGUGGUGAAGGAGGCGCUUCUCCAGCAAGGGGAUGAGUUCCUCGGGAGAGGACCUCUGCCCAUCAUCGAAGAUACCCAUAAGGGAUAUGGACUCAUUUUCAGUAAUGGAGAGAGGUGGAAAGUCAUGCGACGCUUCUCCCUCAUGACUCUGAGGAACUUCGGAAUGGGGAAGAGAAGCCUAGAGGAGAGGGUGCAGGAGGAAGCCCGGUGCCUUGUGGAGGAAUUACAAAAAACAAAAGCCCUUUGACCCCACCUUCAUCCUGGCCUGUGCUCCCUGCAACGUGAUCUGCUCCAUUCUUUUCAACGAUCGAUUCCAGUACAACAACAAGACGUUCCUCAACCUUAUGGAUCUUUUAAAUAAAAAUUUUCAACAAGUGAACUCCGUGUGGUGCCAGAUGUACAACCUUUGGCCAACGAUCAUAAAGUAUCUCCCUGGAAAGCAUAUAGAAUUUGCAAAAAGAAUUGAUGAUGUUAAAAACUUCAUUCUUGAAAAAGUGAAGGAACACCAGAAGUCCCUGGAUCCUGCCAACCCUCGGGACUACAUUGACUGUUUUCUCAGCAAGAUUGAG
rnacentral:lncRNA from 1 species